CCCGGAGUGGCAGCAUCCGCAUCUGCACCGCCUAAGAACUUGUUUAAAAUGCAAAUUAUUGGAGUCUACCCCAGAGUUCGGGAACCAGGAACUCUAAGGAUUGGGUUGACCUAUUGGUUUUAAAAAGCCCUCCAGGUAAAUACGAGAAGUGUAAGGCGUCCUCUCUUCUCCAGGGACUGCACCUGGGCCUGCCAAGAAAGGACGAUUGUGUAAACAGGGUCAAAGAGCGGGGACCAGAAGUGCACCGCCCCGGAGUCAGCGGUAUGGUAAUUAGAGAGACCUUGUCUGGGAUCACCAAGAAUUCCAAUCUCCAGAAGUGUCCACUGACUCCUAAGUCACAGCAGAAUGAAAGCUGGCUGAAUGAACUGCAGAGUCUCCCUCUGUUGCUGGGCCGAAGCGCAGUAGCAUGAUCUCCGCUCACGGCAACCUCCUCCUCCCGGGUUCAAGUGAUUCUCCUGCCUCAGCCUCCUGAGUAGAUGGGACUACAGGCAUGCACCACCACACCCAGCUAAUUUUUGUAUUUUUAGUAGAGAUGGGGUUUCACCAUGUUGGCCAAGAUGGUCUUGAUCUCUUGACCUCAUAAUCCGCCCACCUUGGCCUCCCAGAGUACUGGGAUUACAGGUGUGAGCCACCGCUCCCAGCCAAAAAUUUGAAUCUUUAAGUGGAAGAUAGAAUUGGAGGCACACUUAGGGGCUCAUCAGACCAACUUAAAGGGUUUGGACUUUAUUCUGUAGGCAAUGAAAGACAU
rnacentral:lncRNA from 13 species